rnacentral:rRNA from 1 species
AGUGAACGCUGGCGGCAGGCCUAACACAUGCAAGUCGAGCGGCAGCGCGUCCGACCACCCUCGGGUGGUCGGAUGGCGGCGAGCGGCGGACGGGUGAGGAAUGCAUCGGAAUCUGCCUCGUUGUGGGGGAUAACGUAGGGAAACUUACGCUAAUACCGCAUACGACCUACGGGUGAAAGUGGGGGACCUUCGGGCCUCACGCGAUGAGAUGAGCCGAUGCCGGAUUAGCUAGUUGGCGGGGUAAAGGCCCACCAAGGCGACGACCCGUAGCUGGUCUGAGAGGAUGAUCAGCCACACUGGAACUGAGACACGGUCCAGACUCCUACGGGAGGCAGCAGUGGGGAAUAUUGGACAAUGGGGGCAACCCUGAUCCAGCCAUGCCGCGUGUGUGAAGAAGGCCUCGG